UGACACGGGGUGCUGCCCACCGCGCAGCUGAGAUGACACCCGUCGAACCUGAUCCAGUUAGUACUGGCGAAGGGAAUG
rnacentral:ncRNA from 1 species